rnacentral:lncRNA from 1 species
AUGGUGAUAUUAUCGCUGCCGCUGCCGCAGCCCCAAAGCUGUUUUUCACUCCUCGGCGAGGCUCAUCGGCACUUGCCAACAAUGAGCUGUGUUUCUUACCCAGCUUUGGCCACAGCUAAUAUAGGAUUUCAGAAGGGAGGAGCAAAACCCUUACAGGCAACCAGAAGUAAAACCUGGAGCAAGCGAGGGGGAAAAAAAAAACAAAAAAAAAAAAACAACACCCAGCACACACACACACACGCACACACACACGCACACGGGGAGGCUCAGGAAGGGGCCAGGCGGGGCUGGACGGCAUCCAAAGGGCCCCGCUCCUCCUCGCCUGGGCCACACGUGUGUGCCUGCGGGUCGCCCUCGCCCCUCUCGGCGCCUCCCCCCGGGAACAAAGCGGGGCUCCGCGGCCCGGAGCGCAGCCCCGGCGCAGGGCGCUGCCCACCGGCCCCGCUCCGCUCACGGCCACCCCCCGGCCGCGGACACGCGUGGGGCCGGGCGCCCCCGCGGGGCUCCCCGCGCCCGGCGCUGCCCCCGCUCCCGGCGGCAUCCCGGCCUCCAGGUGCCCGGCCCCAGCCCCGUGGGACCCCCGCGGACCCCCGUGGGCUCUCCCCGGGGCCGGCCCCUCUCCCGGCGGCGAGAUCCGAGAUCCACCUUUUUCCACAGCCGCGGGCGCCGCAUGCGGGAGGCGAGGGGGUGCGGGCACACGCAGCCCCUCCGGCCCUCCCUGCCUCUGCUCCCGGCUUUGGGCCGCUAAAUUGCGGCCGCCCCAGGUGUGCGGGCUGUGGUUGGCUUUGUGAGGUUUCUUACAGUGAAUUGUUUCCUUGCGUUGGCAGGCAAAAUAGGAUAAUACAGACCGUGGGGAAGGGCUUUGUAAACGUGAUCGUCCUGCCUGGCCGUGGCCCUGCCACCUAUUUGGUGCCCCGCAGUGCUGUGGCGAGACUCUCCCUGUGCUGCCCCAGCAGGGACAUGCGUGUCCCAAAUGCCCCCGCCAUCAGCGCUCCCGCACUGUGUGCCUCUCACCCCAAAGCCACCGGCUCUUCUCGGAAGGGUGCCUGUGCUGAAGUAGCCGAGAAGAUGGGGGGAGGCCUGCUGCAGGGAUGA